rnacentral:rRNA from 1 species
AGCGAACGCUGGCGGCAGGCCUAACACAUGCAAGUCGAACGAACCUUUCGGGGUUAGUGGCGGACGGGUGAGUAACACGUGGGAACGUGCCCUUAGGUUCGGACUAACUCAGGGAAACUUGUGCUAAUACCGAAUGUGCCCUUCGGGGGAAAGAUUUAUCGCCGUUAGAGCGGCCCGCGUCGGAUUAGCUAGUUGGUUGAGUUAAAGGCUCACCAAGGCGACAAUCAGUAGCUGGUCUGGGAGGCUGGUACGCCACAUCGGGACGGAGACGCGGCCCAAACUCCUACGGGAGGCAGCAGUGGGGAAUCUUGCGAAAUGGGCGAAAGCCUGACGCUGCCAUGCCGCGUGAAUGCUGAAGGUCUUAGGGUUGUAAAAUGCUUUCACCGGUGACGAUAAUGACGGUACCCGGAGAAGAAGCCCCGGCUAACUUCGUG